GACGAACGCUGGCGGCGUGCUUAACACAUGCCAGUCGAACGGAAAGGCCCUGCUUUUGUGGGGUGCUCGAGUGGCGAAAGGGUGAGUAACACGUGAGUAACCUGCCCUUGACUUUGGGAUAACUUCAGGAAACUGGGGCUAAUACCGGAUAGGAGCUCCUGCUGCAUGGUGGGGGUUGGAAAGUUUCGGCGGUUGGGGAUGGACUCGCGGGUUAUCAGCUUGUUGGUGGGGUAGUGGCUUACCAAGGCUUUGACGGGUAGGCGGCCUGGGAGGGUGACCGGCCACAUUGGGACUGAGAUACGGCCCAGACUCCUACGGGAGGCAGCAGUGGGGAAUAUUGCACAAUGGGCGGAAGCCUGAUGCGGCAACGCCGCGUGCGGGAUGAUGGCCUUCGGGUUGUAAACCGCUUUCGCCUGUGACGAAGCGUGAGUGACGGUAAUGGGUAAAGAAGCACCGGCUAACUACGUG
rnacentral:rRNA from 1 species